AACGUAGGUCACAAGCGUUGUCCGGAAUUACUGGGUGUAAAGGGAGCGCAGGCGGGAGAACAAGUUGGAAGUGAAAUCCAUGGGCUCAACCCAUGAACUGCUUUCAAAACUGUUUUUCUUGAGUAGUGCAGAGGUAGGCGGAAUUCCCGGUGUAGCGGUGGAAUGCGUAGAUAUCGGGAGGAACACCAGUGGCGAAGGCGGCCUACUGGGCAUCAACUGACGCUGAGACUCGAAAGUGUGGGUAGCAAACAGG
rnacentral:rRNA from 1 species